ensembl:lncRNA
CUCGGGGCGGCCUCGGAGCGCUGCGGGCCCCGGCGCUGCCUUCUGCUGGCACUCGGCGUCCAGGAAAUCCGCAAAGCGGCGGGACGAGUGGAAGCCGUGACAUCACUCGGGGCAGGAGGCUUCGGGCAGAAGGUGCGGAGCUCUGCGUUCCCGCACCGAGACACGUCCGCGUCCCGCCGUCCCCGGACCUCGUUCCCUCCAAACCCUACAAACGGACGGAAAUCAUCCCCAUAGCCGCCGCUGUCCGAAGAGAUCGGUGCCUGGACCGGGAGCUGCCCUCCGUGCGGCAGCCGUGCUGCGGAACGCCAGAAGUGUACGCACAAGGAGGGGAGCAAUGCUCUGAAGAACAAACCCGCCGCGAGCGCCGGCGGAGGCAGCGUUGAGGCUGAGGCAGCGCUUCCAGGCACUGCCCCCUCCGCGCACCGACCUCCGUGCUGACACGGGGCUCCGCGGGCUCAGCUCGUUCAGCUGUCCCAGUCAGCGUCACGGCUUUCAGAGGGCCGCGGUUACGCUUUCCCUUGCUGACGGUGCAUGCAGAGCUAUCUUUCUCCCUUCUCCACCUGGACCUGCUAUCAAACCCGAGAAAAACCAGCCAAGCAAAAGAAAUAGCGGAGUCAUCUGCAUCGCUCGGGGCAGCCUCCUGCACUGCCCUACCCAGGGGCCUCGCAGAGGAGCAGUUCUGGGGCACUAUCCGUGCCAAUGUGGUCACGGUGCUGACAUGGUGCUGGUACAGCCUUUAGCAGCCAGCUCUCCACCUGCCACACAUGAAAUCAAUGCGUGGCUUUGAUGCACAGCUCCUACACGGGGAAAUGCUCCGAGCCCGUCGGUGAUGUGAUGGGGAGCAUGAGCAGAAAUCCCUCAGUGUGGGGCUUAGGGAUGGCUGUGCUACACUUCCAGCCACAGCCAAACCCUGCACAUCACUGCCACAGCCAUGUAUAGGUACGGAGCCACAUGCAGAGCUGCAGGCAGUGAGUGCUCUCUGCCAUGGCCGGGCACAAACACACUGUGAGACAAAGGUGGGUGCACCGCGUCGGUAAUUACAGCCUGUCUAAAACCACAGCCAUGGCUGUACCACCUAUUUCUAGACACUAAACAAGCCCCAGACAGAAAGCAAGGGAUUGUCCUUAUUGCGCUGGUGUUCAAUCCAAGCAAGCCCCACAUCUGCAGCCCAAUUAGAGAUGUGCUCCCUGAUAUCACAUCAUCCCCUAUGCUGUGAACAGGCAACGUGUGCUCAGGCUGCUCGCUGUGUGCCCCGUUCACUGCCUGGAAUAGGACAGUUUACAGCUCACAAAAUUAAGUUAAUGAUUAUAUCUGUGCAGAGCGGGGCCUCCAGUUUUUAACAGCAAAAUGAAGGAACAGAUCAAACCCCACAUUCCGUGGGUUUGCAGCAGUGUUGGUCUGCAGGUUCCAGCUCUCGGCUGCCGUCACACCUGGCUGUGUGUUUAUGGAGCAGCAGGGAGGUGCUGCAGGCAUUUAACACAAUAAUGGCUAAUUGAAACUUUUUAUUUCUAAAAUAACACCAUGUUUUAUAUAUAUUAAAAUCAUAUUAAAGCUGACUUGCCAGACUCUCCCGAGCGCCACUACAGCCAGUUAAAAACCCUGUUAAGAGCCAAUUAAAUAACGAAGCUUUCUAUAACAGGCGCAUGAUAUAAAACAAUUAAGUGGUGGAGGCUUUUUUCUGUUAGUUUAUUUCUCUGCCUUUGCAUUUCUGUGCAGAUCUUAUUUUAAAGUGUGGUACAGACCCACCAAAGUGCCCUCCCAGCAGAGCACUCCCAUGGAACCAAAUAGGCUGGAGCUGGAGGUGCUGCAGAGCGCGCCCACUGAGCACUAAAGAAAAUCACACUAAUAAGAAAUGCUCAAAGAAAAGUUCCCAAACCGAACACCCAGGUGUCUGAAGUCCCACAGAUGGUCCCUGCAGGGUGGGCUCAGUGGUGCCAAGCUGGGCACCAAGCAGUGUGCCUGAUGUCCACGGCCCCAGGCAGCCUUUGUGGCCACCACCAGCCCAGGGCACGGCCAGCAGCUAUGGGGAGCUUCACCAGCAGAAGGCAAUGGGAACUGGGGAUCCCAGGCACAGCGCACGCAGAAGGAGAGAUCUCACUAAAACCUUCUUUCGGGACUUUGCCCAACACUGGUCAUGGAGUGGUGACGUGAAGGCUGGGUUCACCUUGCUUGCUUCAGUGGGUACUCAAACAGCUGUGCCCUUAGCAGGGGUCUCACACCUGGUGACCUCCUGGCUCACACUGAGGACACCAACAAUCCCCUGUCCUGGGACCCCACUAAGGGCAUGUACCAAACAGCUGUUUGGUGCCUACCGAUGUUGCUGCGGUGCUAAAGGGAAGGCAGGCAGCUCCCGGUCUGCAUUCUGUGAGGGCAAAUGCCACCAGCAUCAGCGCAGUGCCACCACCUCAGGCCAAAUGAGAGCCGACUUCUGCCCUGCAGCCUGAUGUUCGAUACGGCACAUUUCUACUUACCACACCCAGAACAGAACUGUAAACCCAUAUAUGGACACGACCGCUUAAAAAGUUUAAACAAUUUUGCUUUUCUGUACGUAUAUUAUGACACUUCCAAAUUUUUUGGACGAAAUUCCACCACCCGAUAGCGAUCUGAGCCGCAGAUGGGUUCGCUUAGCGCAUUUCUAGGCCUUGUCCGCCAGCUUCUUCCCUUCGCCUCCCGCUCACCGCGCAGGG